GACGAACGCUGGCGGCGUGCUUAACACAUGCAAGUCGAACGAUGAAGCCGGAGCUUGCUCUGGUGAAUUAGUGGCGAACGGGUGAGUAACACGUGAGUAACCUGCCCUUGACUCUGGGAUAACUGCGGGAAACUGUAGCUAAUACCGGAUACGACCCUCGGAGGCAUCUCCGGGGGGUGGAAAGAAUUUCGGUGAAGGAUGGACUCGCGGCCUAUCAGCUAGUUGGUGAGGUAAAGACUCACCAAGGCGACGACGGGUAGCCGGCCUGCGAGGGUGACCGGCAACACUAGUACUGGGACACGGCCCAGCCUCCUACGUGAGGCAGCGGUGGGGAAUAUUGCACAGGGGGCGCAAGCCUGAUGCAGCAACGCCGCGUGAGGGAUGACGGCCUUCGGGUUGUAAACCUCUUUUAGCAGGGAAGAAGCGAAAGUGACGGUACCUGCAGAAAAAGCACCGGCUAACUACGUGCCAGCCGCCGCCGUAA
rnacentral:rRNA from 1 species